rnacentral:sRNA from 1 species
AGGCCUCUCAAGGGGUCAAACAAAAUUCUGUUUCGACAACAUGCAUUGAACCCCUGCCAUGCAACGGCGUGGCUAUACGAAUGCUUGGCUUUGGACUAAGAUAUGGCUGCUAUUGGCUCCAGCGAGGCGUGACUGGGGUAACUUCUAAGACACUUCACCCCCUUGGGCCUUCGGUUAUCGAGAAAAAGAAAAACACAUGUGUGUGGCUGGUGCCAGGCAUCUGCGAGGCGUUUUCGUCCGACAAGCUAGGAAUUUAAAUGUGCAGAGGUUGUCACUUCAGGGGCUUUGAUGCCGAACUUGAUCGUCUGGCGAUAUCAUCUUCACUGAAGAGAAAUUUAUUGAUUAUCUAUACGUGGUUCAAGAAAGCGCGGCCAUCGAUAUACAAUUAAUAAAAAUUACAGAGUAAAAUACGGUAGCAGCGUCUCAGACACAGCUCAAUAAGUAGAGUAUCAAAAGAAGCAGCCAUUGUUUUGUAUAAAGAGACAUCAAAUAUGCCAUGGACUGCCGAUUUUUGUUCCAGUAACCACAGCAUACACACCAUAAGAAGAGCCAGCUAAUGAGAGGUCAAUAAAUACGUACUGUACAAGAGCGGUUGCAAGGUUC